rnacentral:rRNA from 1 species
UACAGAGGUCCCGAGCGUUGUUCGGAUUUACUGGGCGUAAAGCGCGUGUAGGCGGCAAUGCAAGUCGGGCGUGAAAUCCCACGGCUCAACCGUGGAAGUGCACUCGAAACUGCAUAGCUAGAGUCCUGGAGAGGAAGGUGGAAUGCUUGGUGUAGAGGUGAAAUUCGUAGAUAUCAAGCGGAACACCGGUGGCGAAGGCGGCCUUCUGGACAGUGACUGACGCUGAGACGCGAAAGCGUGGGGAGCAAACAGG